rnacentral:rRNA from 1 species
CCGAUGGCGGGGGGAUAACUACUGGAAACGGUAGCUAAUACCGCAUAAUGUCUGCGGACCAAAGCGGGGGACCUCCGGGCCUCGCGCCAUCAGAUGAACCCAUAUGGGAUUAGCUUGUAGGUAAGGUAACGGCUUACCUAGGCGACGAUCCCUAGCUGGUCUGAGAGGAUGAUCAGCCACACUGGGACUGAGACACGGCCCAG